UUUGGAUUUUGUUUUAUAAAGGGAAUCUUGCAACUUCUGAAGAGGCUUUGCACUUCUCUGGCACUUACCUGCAGAGCUGAUGAGAAAGCACAUGUUCUCACACAGACCUCUGAGGAUUUAUUCCUAGCACACUGUAUAUUUAUCCAAAUUGCUUGAGGUAUAUGACUCCAUCAUAGCAUAAGACAAACCUGCCCUUAGCAGAAGUUCAAUUUGGCUGAUAGAACAGUUUCUUUUUUCAGCUUCUCAGAAAAGACAGCAUGCCUCAACUGCGUGUGGUACAACAUUUGCUGAUAGAACCUUUUUUAAAAAAAUACAUUUCAGCUGUUUUAUGAAAUGAG